rnacentral:rRNA from 1 species
GUAAGCUACUAAGAGCGAACGGUGGAUGCCUUGGCUAGUAGAGGCGAUGAAAGACGUGCCAGGCUGCGAUAAGUCUCGGGGAGCCGUCAAGGGGCUUUGAUCCGGGAAUUUCUGAAUGGGGCAACCCAAUACAUAGCGAUAUGUGUUACCAUUAAUGGAGCCAACGCGGGGAACUGAAACAUCUAAGUACCCGCAGGAAGAGAAAUCAAUAGAGAUUACGCUAGUAGCGGCGAGCGAACGCGUAAGAGGGCAAACCACUAGUUUACUAGUGGGGUUGUAGGACCGCAACAUAGACUAGGAUCUGAUAAUAGAACAAUCUGGAAAGGUUAGGCAUAGAGGGUGAUACUCCCGUAUAUGAAAUCACAUCCUUACUUAGCGGUAUCCUGAGUAGGACGGGACACGUGAAAUCCUGUCUGAAGCCGGGUCGACCACGAUCCAACCCUAAAUACUACUACUAGACCGAUAGCGUACAAGUACCGUGAGGGAAAGGUGAAAAGAACGGCGGUGAGCCGAGUGAAAUAGAACCUGAAACCGUUUGCUUACAAUCAUUCAGAGCACUAUGCUAUACUCUUUAAAAUUAAUCCAGCUUGGCUUUUUAGCCCUUUUUUAUGAAACUGCGACUGCGGCAGCCGAAUCCGGCUAGCCUUGUCUUGUUUCAUAAAAAAUCAUCUAAAAAUCCUGCGCAUUUGAAAUUCUAAAUUUUGAUCUGAUAAAAUUUCAUCAUAAAUGACACAAACAGAGCUUUAUGGUCUAAAUUUAGAAGUAACGAUUAACGAUUAGUUUUAAUGAGUAUAGCAGUGUGAUGGACUGCCUUUUGCAUAAUGAGCCUGCGAGUUGUGGUAUCUGGCGAGGUUAAGGAAACCCGGAGCCGUAGCGAAAGCGAGUCUUAAUAGGGCGAUUAGUCAGAUGCUGCAGACCCGAAACGAUGUGAUCUAUCCAUGAGCAGGUUGAAGCCGGUGUAAGAGCCGGUGGAGGACCCAACCGACGGCCGUUGAAAAGGCUCCGGAUGACUUGUGGAUAGGGGUGAAAGGCCAAUCAAACAUCGUGAUAGCUGGUUCUCUCCGAAAUAUAUUGAGGUAUAGCGUCGUGUAGUAGUUAUAAGGGGUAGAGCACUGAAUGGGCUAGGGCAUACACCAAUGUACCAAACCCUAUCAAACUCCGAAUACUUAUAGCGUAACCACGGCAGUCAGGCGGCGAGUGAUAAAAUCCGUCGUCAAGAGGGAAACAACCCGGACUAACAGCUAAGGUCCCAAAAUCUCAUUUAAGUGGAAAACGAUGUGAAGUUACUGAAACAACCAGGAGGUUGGCUUAGAAGCAGCCAUCCUUUAAAGAUAGCGUAAUAGCUCACUGGUCUAGUGAUUUUGCGCGGAAAAUAUAACGGGGCUAAAAUGAGUACCGAAGCUUUAGAUAGUGUCUAUGAUUAUUUAUACUAGCUUGUCUCUUUGGCAUCUUUAAAUGAGCUUAAUUUUUUCUCCUGCGGCAACCUACACGGUUAGCCUUAGUCGAAAAAAUAUCAGCAACAUUUAAAUAUGCGCAAAGAUACUUCGCUUUCUGCAUUCAAAUUUGAAUGCAAGGUCUUAAUCUAAAAUUCUAUAAAUUUCAAAUUUCUUAGAAUUUUAAAAUUUAGCAACAAAAAGCAAAAAGACAAGCCUAAGUAAAGUAUAAAUACUCAUAGACACUGUGGUAGGAGAGCGUUCCAAUCAGCGUCGAAGCCGUACCGGUAAGGAGCGGUGGAGCGGUUGGAAGUGAGCAUGCAGGCAUGAGUAGCGAUAAAAUACGUGAGAAUCGUAUUCGCCGUAAACCCAAGGUUUCCUACGCGAUGCUCGUCAUCGUAGGGUUAGUCGGGUCCUAAGCAAAGUCCGAAAGGGGUAUGCGAUGGAAAAUCGGUUAAUAUUCCGAUACCGAUAUCAGUGUGCGACGGAAGGACGCUUAAAGUUAGUGGAGCUAGCGGAUGGAAGUGCUAGUCUAAGGAAGUAGGUUGAGUUAUAGGCAAAUCCGUAACUCUUUAUCCGAGAUCUGAAAGGCUUCUGACGCUCUUCGGAGUAGAUGAAGAAUCCAUGAUACUAUCGAGCCGAGAAAAGUUUCUAAGUUUAGCUGAUAUCGCCCGUACCGUAAACCGACACAGGUGGGUGGGAUGAGUAUUCUAAGGCGCGUGGAAGAACUCUCUUUAAGGAACUCUGCAAAAUAGCACCGUAUCUUCGGUAUAAGGUGUGCCUAGCUUCGUUAAGAAUUUACUUCGUAAGCGAAGAAGGUUACAACAAAGAGUCCCUCCCGACUGUUUACCAUAAACACAGCACUCUGCUAACUCGUAAGAGGAUGUAUAGGGUGUGACGCCUGCCCGGUGCUCGAAGGUUAAUUGAUGACGUUAGCUUACGCAAAGCGUCUGAUCGAAGCCCGAGUAAACGGCGGCCGUAACUAUAACGGUCCUAAGGUAGCGAAAUUCCUUGUCGGUUAAAUACCGACCUGCAUGAAUGGCGUAACGAGAUGGGAGCUGUCUCAAAGAGGGAUCCAGUGAAAUUGUAGUGGAGGUGAAAAUUCCUCCUACCCGCGGCAAGACGGAAAGACCCCGUGGACCUUUACUAUAGCUUGACACUGCUACUUGGAUAAAGAUGCGCAGGAUAGGUGGGAGGCUUCGAUUCGUAGAUCUCGGUUUACGAUGAGCCAUUGUUGAGAUACCACUCUUCUUUAUUCGGGUAGCUAACUAGCCUAAGUUAUCCUUAGGUAGGACAAUGUCUGGUGGGUAGUUUGACUGGGGCGGUCGCCUCCCAAAAUGUAACGGAGGCUUACAAAGGUUGGCUCAAAGCGGUUGGAAAUCGCUUGCAGAGUAUAAAGGCAAAAGCCAGCUUAACUGCGAGACAUACACGUCGAGCAGAGACGAAAGUCGGUCUUAGUGAUCCGGUGGUUCUGUGUGGAAGGGCCAUCGCUCAAAGGAUAAAAGGUACCCCGGGGAUAACAGGCUGAUCUCCCCCAAGAGCUCACAUCGACGGGGAGGUUUGGCACCUCGAUGUCGGCUCAUCGCAUCCUGGGGCUGGAGCAGGUCCCAAGGGUAUGGCUGUUCGCCAUUUAAAGCGGUACGCGAGCUGGGUUCAGAACGUCGUGAGACAGUUCGGUCCCUAUCUGCCGUGGGCGUAAGAAGAUUGAGGAGAGUUGACCCUAGUACGAGAGGACCGGGUUGAACCGACCACUGGUGUACCGGUUGUUCUGCCAAGAGCACCGCCGGGUAGCUAAGUCGGGAUGCGAUAAGAGCUGAAAGCAUCUAAGCUCGAAGCCGACUCCAAGAUGAAUCUUCUUUUAAGAGCUCUAGUAGACUACUAGUUUGAUAGGCCGGAUGUGUAAUGGAUGAAAGUCCUUUAGCUGACCGGUACUAAUAGCUCGUUUGCUUAUCUUU